UACGUAGGGUGCGAGCGUUACUCGGAAUUACUGGGCGUAAAGCGUGCGCAGGCGGUUUUGUAAGCCAGAUGUGAAAUCCCCGGGCUUAACCUGGGAAUGGCAUUUGGGACUGCAAAGCUGGAGUGCGGCAGAGGGGACUGGAAUUCCUGGUGUAGCGGUGAAAUGCGCAGAUAUCAGGAGGAACACCGGUGGCGAAGGCGGGUCUCUGGGCCGAUACUGACGCUGAGGAGCGAAAGCGUGGGGAGCGAACAGG
rnacentral:rRNA from 1 species